rnacentral:lncRNA from 1 species
CGGGCCACCGGGUCCGGGUCACCACCGGGGCUGGGUUAGUCGGUACCUUCAUGAAGGUCUCUACCGCGCCUUUGGCCGUGUCCAGGUCAUAAUAGUGAUACUGAGAACAACAACAACAAAAUUAACAAGCAUAAAAUUGGAUAUGAAAUUAAACAAGGAGUUUAUGGAAGAAAUGGUUUAUUUUGGCUAAUGGAUCAAGGAGAAUGGAGUCCAUCUUGCCAUGGAAGGUAUGACAGUGAGCAGAGAAGACAUGGAGUCAGGAGCAGGAGUUAACCACAUUCCAUCCACAUACAGAAGAGACAGAGAGACAGCAUGCAAGGGAGAAGUGAGGUUGCAAUUGCUGCAAGGCUUUUUUUGCCAGGCUUUCCUGUAUGACUCGGAACUGUUUACAAUCACCUCCUCCCUCUCCAGGAGCUAUGGAGUGCCUGGGAAGAAUAUUCCUGUGUGAAACAGUGUUGUCAAAUUCCAACUUGAAGAAGUAAAGGGUGCUUUGGUUUAGUUUUAAUUUCAGGGAACAUCAACAUCGAAUAUAAAAACAUCAUUUAUAAUAAUGUCCAACACUGGUAAUGUACUAUGAGGAAAGUCGAACCUUUGUCAAAAGACACACAUGAGAUGGUAGAUCGAGAAGAAACUAGCACUUCCUUGAAUUCCUUCUACAGUGCUGUCACUCUGUCCCUUGGCUGGGGCCAGGGGUGCAGCAGUGACCAAAACAACGUUCAACACUAUCCUAUGGAAUGGCAGAACAAGCAUGCAUACACACACACACACACACACACACACACACACACACCAGCAAUAACAACAACAAUAAUGAAAACAAAAUGAAAAAGAAACACAAUAAAAAUAAACAUAAAUUGAAAAAGAAAGAGAAAAAGAAAAAGAAAAAGAAAAAGAAAGCUGGUACUCGGGUGAGGCCAGGAUGCUCUGACUGGGCAGGGGAAGAGAACUCUAAGCACAGGACAAGUGCAACUUGUCCCCUUGGUUCAACAACAGCUCAGAACCUGACUGUUCUGAAAUCUGCUCACAUAAAGCACACUGAUGGAUGACAGAUACCAUAAUUGUUAAGAGCUCGGUGACAGCCUUGGCUUUUACUUCUUAUGAGGCAAAUGAAUGGAGCUAGAAAAUACGUCAUCCUGAGCAAGGCAACCCAGACCAAAAGACAAGUAUGGUCUGGGGCUCACACGUGUUAGCUGAGCACCUGCCACUGAGCCCUCAGCCUCAGAUACUGUUAACUAAGGCACAACAGAGGUAAAGGUGAAGUGUUUUCCUAAGGCUCUAAGGUGUCCCAGGCUCCAGUGAAAGUUUUGAGGGAGGGAAAGUGGUCUCUCUACUUCAUGAAGUCAGAGCAGAUCACACCUACAACGAGGAGAACACAAUUUGGAUGAAGAGGAAACAAGAACAAAAGCUGUCACAGAGAGUUAAAGGGAGUGACUGCAAAGUGUGGAGCCGGUGACUUGGCCACACUUUGAUGAAGUGGCUGCGGGUCUUCUCUUCAUUGUUUACACAAGCCAUUAGAGCAUCUUCUCACGGAAACCAUUUGACUCUGCAGUGUUGCUGCUUUGAGCUGACAGAGGAUGGAAAGUGGUCCCUGCAAUGAGAACAGGGUCUGCUGCGGAGACACAGAAAGUUCUUAAAGUAUUUGGUCACCUUAGGAUGUGACAUUAUCUAUUAUUGCUUUGAAAAGACUACAGUAGCUGUUCUGUGGGUGGCUUGGAGAGAACAAGGCUGGACCAGUGAGAAACUCA